rnacentral:tRNA from 1 species
GUUAUAGCUCAGUGGUAGAGUGCUUGCCUAGCAUGUGUGAGGCACUGGGUUCAAUCCUCAGUACCACA